UCAAUCAAACGGUUAAGCAAAUUGAAUUCACAACUUAUGAAAUAACAACUGAAGGUAAUCAAUUCAUAAUGCAAAUAUAAUCAUGGUUUUGAAUAGCCCCCUAGCCAAGAAGGGCUUAGUUCCUCAUAAAUGCAAAACAAAGAUACAUAAAUUUAGACAUUGAAAACAAAGAAUGAAAACACCUAGAAAUGCUCCAACAAUCCAACGUCUUGAAUGGCAAGCAUGUCCAAGGGUCUCCUUCCUUCUUCUUUGCUGCGGCAUAAGGGAUGGUUGAAGGUUUUUGUGAUGAUUUGUGGUGGUGGAUGGAUAUAGGUUGGUUAUGGUGAAGGGUGGAGUCCUCAGAAUGGUCAGAAAGGGGUCUUAUUUAUAGGGAAAGGAAGGGCUACGAAUUUAUUAGAUUUGGAAUCCGAAAUCAAUGGAAAAUAGGCAAGAAAGGUGCAGGAAUUAAAGAGAAUAGGAAAGGGAAAUUCGGCAGAAAUUGUAGGACAAAUUUAGGAAUGUGUUUUGAGGCACAAAAUAGGUAAGAAUCCUCUCCCCUUGUUCAGCAAGAAUUGAAACAAAAUGGAAUGUAAUUUUGGGUCAGAAAUAGGUAAGAAAGAAUCAGAAAUUAAAGAGAAAUAGGUAACAAAGAUGUGGCACAAUAUAGGAAAGGUACUUAAGGUCAGAAAUUAAAAGGGAAAGAGGAUGUAUGGUGCGGCAAGGGACAAGGGAGAAAGGGAAAGGUGUUUUUGGUUCAGAAAUUAGGGAAACAUGGCAAGGGAAAUUGUUGCACAAGAGGAGACAAGGAUGAAGCACAAAGGGGACAAGGCGCCACCUUUGUAGGAGAUGCUGAAAUUAUGUCUUCUAAGCUUCCAAACUGACUUCUAACAUCCUUUAGGCCUUCAAUUUCGUCAAUCAAUAUUACUCCAAGCAUGAGAUAUUCAAUUCAUGCCCAAAACUGCUCCAAAAGGCUCCAAAUUGCAUCUUUUUGCAUACUUUGUCCUUAGAACCUGAAAUUGCACGAAAAUGACUUUAAACACUAAAAUAACUAAGGAAAACAACAUAAAUGCCAAGAAACAAGCUAACUAAGUCACAUAAAUAUGCUCCUAUCAAAUUCCCCCACACUUAGCUUUUGCUAGUCCUCGAGCAAAACAAAACAAAACAAAACCUAGACCUUCCAACAAUUGUCUUAGGGAUUUCCAAUGAACAUGACAUGCCAAAGAUCAUUACUUACAUAGAUUUUAGUCAUCCUUACCCUCAAGCACAUACUUAAUCAUAGUCACCAUUUACUUGUUCGCAUUUAAUCAAUUAAAACAACAUUUUGAAUGUAGUAACAUGCCUUAGAGAAUUCCCUCAAUUCCUUACUAGAUAUGCACUCAAUUUUCACUCAGAUUUUCUGACUACACACCUUACACUAGGUAUAUGUGAGAAGAUUGAUGUAAACAUGAAAACUAGUACUCACAUAUGUUAUAGCAAAGAAAGCACUUUUCUGGACUUAUUAAUGCAUGUAUAUAUAUGAUCUAAUGGACGGAAUGCCACUACUUAGACGCGAGAACCACUGAUAUCAUAUGCUCAUACCAAUUCCAAACUCCACAUAUUGAAAUACACAACACUCAAGAUGGAAGUCAAGGGUUGUAACGGGGCUAAGGGCGUUGGCUAACAAAGAAAGAUAAGGAUAAACAAAGGUUCUUUAAAGAAAUAGUAAGCAAACUAAUGAAAUUGACACUUAGAAUUCACUUCUGAAUGCAAAAAUCAACUUUUAAACACAAGGGAAGAUUUAUGCAACACUUAGGGCCAAAUUCAAACUUUUGGACCCUUUCUUCAACAACCAACACAUGUGAGUUCAUUCUCACUUAUUUUUCAGCUCUUUUUCAUUCUUUUCACACCCUUUUCUUUUUCUUUUUCUUUUUCCACGAAUUUUUUUUUAUUUUUUUUAUGCCCUUUUCUUUCUUUUGGCACACAAAACACACUUUGAAAACCCUUCCCCCACACUUGUUUUUCUGCAAAAAUCAAAAGGAAUUCCCUUUAAGUCAUGCUUCACUAUUCUUUAAGAACAAGGGUGUGGACAGUUCUAAUCUAGGCUAGGUAGGGAUAAUGUGGUUAACAAAGAAAAUAGGCUAACGAAGGAUCAAAGGGGGUUAAACCUACAAAACAUAUGACAAAAGGGAUAGGCUUUUUGGCUUUGGUGGUAACUAAACAACUUCAUCUUGAAUAUGUGUUAUGCACUCAAUAUCAUGCUUUGAAUGGAACGGGCAUGAGUUCUAGUAUUUGGAUCUAUAAUGAUGAAACGCAUUCUAAGUAGCAACCAAGCAAAGAAUGAAGAGAUCAUGGAACGACUUUAGAAAACAAGAAUGCACAGAUUAAUAACUCUCCAAAUAACGUUUAGGCUCAAGUCUCACAAGGAUGUAGCGUUAGUUUGAGUUCCUUCCUUCAAGCAUGUUACAAAAACUGAUUUUUUUCCUUUUGUGAUUAUAUGUGAAUUCGUAAACUAUAACUACAACCAAGCAUAAACCACAGAGCAUAUCAAACUUACAUCCAUGUUUAUAACUUUCUUUAACAGUCAUGCAAUUAAAAACCAAAUCCUCAUCAUUGUGUUGGAAGGUACCCUAAGACACAAACACACAAAAACGAUUCAAAAACAACUAUUUUUGGCUUUUUCAAAACAAUUUUUCAAAAUUUUAUCGAAUUUUCGGAUUUUUACUUCAACACACACCAAAACAGCUCAAAAUGCACUAAAAACACUUAAAAACAGUGAGAAACAACUUUAGAGGGGAUAGGUAAUACAACCCACGAAUUUGCAUCAAAAAUACUUUGUUAUCCCCCCACACUUAAAUCAAACUUGUCCUCAAUGUUUUAAGCAUAAACUCACAGAAAGCAACCAAACAAAAAAAAACAACUAAGCUUGAUAAAAUAAAGGCAGCAAAGAUAAAAAAAAACAUAUGAUGAUACUUUACGGACAUUUCACAACUAAUCUAGUUUAAUUGUUUGUUUGGCCGUCUCAUAUAAAUGUUUAUACGCUUAAACGAUAAGUCCAAGGAAAUAUGAUUGGGAGAAUGAUCUAAAGAAGUUACAUUCAUGAGACCAUUCUUCGUAAACACAUCCUAAAUUCCUGAUCAUAGGAUUGCCAAUUGGAUCAUUGAGGAUUGUGCAGAUCUGUUAAAAGAGUCGUGUUGACUUCUUCUCAAAAGAGUGACUAGUCGUGUCAUUGGUCUUGACCUCAAGGACAAGUGGGUCUCGAGUCAUUGGUCUGAAUCAAGACAAGCAUGUAGCUCAAUAAUGAAUGAGUCCACUGAACAUGAUCAACGAGAGAGUCUCUCAUACUCAUGUCACAUGAGAACUCAUGGUUCGAAUAAUGCAAAGUAGUCCUUUGACCUGAGGCAUCAUAGUUGUCUUGUGAUUAAGUCCUUGAUCUUUGAUUAUGUCAAAGUCACUCCAUCAGGAGGGUGUCCACGGCAUCGUCGGGGUUAAGCCACUUAGCCAUGGAGGCAAGUGAAUGCACAACAAGGGAUCUCUAACCUUCAAACCGUUUGAGGGAGAAUACUCUAUGAUAUGAUUAAGAAUCUCUGGCCAGAGUAUGAAUGAGAUUUUAGGAAUGAAUCACAUUUUAGGUUUCAAAUCACAUUCAAGGUAAUCAUAUAAGCACAUGAAUCACAUUGGAUAGUAGACAUGAAUAAACUAUCAACCAACAAACAAUGUGGUCAAGAGUAUUGUAUUAGAGAAAGACCGUAUUGCAUUUGUAAUCCUAAACUGAAUAGGUUCUCCACCUCUUCUGAUUAGCUUGGGUAACCAUGAUAUGCUGCUAAGUGUCACUCAUGGUUUGUGGAACCCCUAAAUGUGUAUAAUCACUAAAGGGAGAAUUGAAAAGUAAGUUUCAAUUCACAAUCAAUUCGAAAAUGGUUUUUAAUCGCCCACUGCCUCGCUAAAAGGAACCUAAUGGAUCGUACACCGUGUAAGGUGGAGAUUGAAGAAACAAUGGAGAUGAGUAAGAAUAAUUAAAUGGUUUAAUCAUUAUUUUAUGGCAAGGAUUAAUUAAUAUGUUAAUUAAUCAAACGAAUAAGUUCGUUAAAGACCUCGGAGAGUUAGUUUUGGACCUUAAGGCCCAAUGGGCUUCGAACGUCAAGCCCUUAAUUGACUUAAGUUAAUUGAUGAAAAUUAAUAAGUUGUAUGACAACUUAAUGACAAAAGCCCAAUUAAAAGCCCUAAAUGCCCAAUGAACCCUAUGGCCGGCCAUUUUGUUAAAGGAGUAGGUUUUGGACUUAAUUUACAAAGUUUGCCACUCCAAAUGAAUAAAGGUAUAAAAUAUGACUUUAUAGCCAAAAUUCAUUUAGGGUUUUUCUUUUGGGGAAAAAAUGAGGAGAACACAAUUGCUCUCCUUUUCUCUCUAAAGAGGCCGGCCACCCUUGGAGGGAUUAGCUAGUAAUCUUUCUCCUACAAGGUCACUCAUCUCUUCUUCAACAUCUUACCUUGGUGUGGAGACUUAGAGGUUCUCAAUUUUGGGAACUUGGAGAAACCUAUUCUUCCAUCCAAAUCCAUGGAUCUAAGAAGCAAGGAAUGAAGGCCCUCUCUCUUUGGGUGAUUAGCCUUUGCUUAUGCAAAGAGGAAUCUACACAAAGGUAUAAAUUUUUCAACUCACUUUGUUUUGAGUUUGAGUUGUUAGUCUUGGUUCACCAAUCUACUAGGCUUUGAAUUUCAUGGUUAAUGUUUUGUUUUUGAGUGCAUACAAGCAUGAUUCCGCCUUUAAUUGUUAAUUGCAUGCUAAUAGAUGUUGCUUAAAUGAACAUUUUUUUCACAAAAUUUCCUUCAAGUGGUAUCAGAGCCUAGGUCUAGUAGUUGGUGAAUCCUUUUGGGUUUUGUAGUUCAUAAGUUUUGAUUUAAAAUGUUGUAAUAUGUUACAAGCUUUAUUCUUGCUUCUUUGAAUGUAAAUUUUGUUAGAAAAUUUGCCAUCUCAAAUGUUGUAGAUGUAGUUCAUCAUAUGAGCAUGAAUAUUGGAGCUAAAAUUUGGUGCCAUGUUUUUGGGAAAAUUCGGCCAAAUCCAAAGGGUGGAUUUUUUGGGUUCAUGUUUGACUUGUUAAAAGUGUUUUCAAGUGACUUUUGGAACCCUAAGUACCCUAGUUUGGUUAUAUGUUAUUUCCCUUAAGUUUGAAGUGGUUUUGGGAUGUUUUUGGAUGAAAAAUGUUCAUGGAAGCUUUUAUGGGUUUUUCAUGGAAUGUUCUUCAUUGUUCUUGACAUGUUUUGCCAAGAACAAAAAGUUUGGUGUUUUGAUUCAAAGUUUUGAUUUAUUUCAUAAAGUAUUAUGUUUUGUGCUUUAUCAAAAUGUUUUAAUUUUGUUGAAAUUUUGAAAGGGAGAUAGAAAUGGUGAUGGGUGUGUAAGAAGUACUUCUCUUACACACACACCACUUUGCAUGAAAUUUAUGUCACAUACACCACUUGCAUGGCUUUAUGACUUUGUUGAAAAAAAUUUCAAAAAUUUUGCACCACUCACUUAUCCCUAAAAACCGGCCACCCUACAAGUGGGGUGCUUUUGGGGCUUUUAUGCAAUUACAUAAAGUUUUGAUACUUUUGUGUAUUUGCAACUUUGGCCCAAAAGUUUACGUUUUACGUUAAAGGCCCAAAAAUCGCUAAAGGACAAAUUGUUUUGUUCCUUUAAUGAAUGUUUUUUGAAUUUUGUUGAAAUUUUUGGGUUCUAGUUGUAUUUACAUGAAGUAGUUGACUUUUGUGUUUUUACAAAGUGACCCCAAAAGUUUAUGUUUUGCAAUAUAGCCCAAAAAAGUUGAGGUUAAUUGCAUUUUUGGCCCAAAUUAGGUUGAGAACAAAAUUGGUUUUGUCUCUUUAAAUGAGAAUUGGAUUUUCAUUUUCAUUUAGCUCCAUUUAAAUCAAUUUUAUGGAUACAAAAACCAAAUGAAAAUGUGUUGCAUUCAAGUUUAAUUAGUUAAAGCGUUAAUUAAUUAAAGGGUGAUUAUGAACCUAAGCCUAACGAUAAUUGAGCUAUGUGAAAGGCGUUUCAAAUUUGUUUGAACCAUGGGAAUGUGUAGAUUAGAUUUUGGUUGUAAUUUGAUUUGAUCAAAUGUUGUAAAGAGCAUAAGCUCUUUUUUACUUUAAAGUAAUUUGUUUUGAUGCAAAUGUUGUAAAAGAGCAUAAGCUCUUCUUUACUUUGAAGUACUUCCUUUCUUGCUUUAUAUUUGAUAUGCAUGAAAAUUGGAAGUAGUUGGGGUCCAACGCCCCAAUAAGACAACACGCCUUAAUGUGAUUAAACGCGUAACUAAAAUCAAUCACCAUCCCUAGACCAAGAUUCAACACAAGGCUCGUGUUGAAUCUAAACAAAGGUUCAUAGUCAUCCUAAGGCCCUAAGGCAACUAUAUAGUCCAUUAAAAUGAAUGCAAAGUUUAUGUUAGUAGUAUCAUAUACUCUUGCUUUAAAAACCGUUUUAAUAAGCAUAGUGGGAGUAUUAUAUACAACUAAAUUCAAUCAAAUGGACCAAUAGUUGUAAUAGGACCAAAAUUGUUUUAAUAGAGAUUAAAAUGUAUAUUUAUAUGUGAUGAGACCUAAAAAACCCUCAACCAAACCAAUUAUUAAGUUGAUAAGCGUGAGAGUGCUUUGAACACUCUUUCGUGGCCUUCCACCGUGGUAGGCUUCAAUCGUUUGUGACUCAUACACCGUAUUCGUCCAGUUCAUGGGGUAGUGCAAAGUAUGUGCUUACAUUCAGGAGGAAGCCUAUAAACAUAUGAUGAAGUGAAGGUAGGCAACGAGUAUGGCCAAUAUGAUAUUCUUCUGAGGCUAUUCUUGAAACCCUACUUGAACUAGCAUGGUGGGAAUGACUUAACUAAGUGCAAUGGUGCCAAUAUUGAUUCUUCUGAGGCAUCAUUUUCUAGAGGCCAAAUUAGAUGGGUACUAAUUAUUGCAAAAGUUGUAAAUGCUAAAGCGUUAUCCUCUCAUCAUUAUUAUUGUUGCUAGCCAAUAUGAUAUUCUUCUGAGGGUGGGCUUGGUAAUAGUGAGUCUCUCCCAUACCCUACUAAGAGUUUCAUCCAAAACUCUCGAAUUCCAAUGAGGGAUAUGGAAUUUGCCAAAAAUAGUGGGUGGUGCUAUUUUGAUUUAAAGACCCGAAUCAAAUGGCUUAAAAUCAAUCAAUUUAUAUUCGUUAUGUAUUUGUUUACCAAUAUAUUUGCAAACGCUAUCCAAAAAACUUGACAAAGAAAAGCCGAAUGCUUUAGUUUCCGGACUUGGUACUACACAAUCCCAAAGAUUGUCUUUAAAUUGUAAGUAGUCUCAUCCUCACAAUCUUCCUAUUGAUAAUGUAUCAUUAGAAGAAUAUGUUAAUAAGUCUAUCAAGAGGACAACACUUUUAAUGUCAUAAAUCUUCAAUUACAAAUCGUUGUAUGAAGAAAGAGUUGCUUUGCUUAGUCAAUGCAAACUUAGUGCUUGUUUCUUUGUUAUGAACAAGAACUUGAGAAGAAGCACAAGGCAUGGACACUUUAAUGUGCCAUGAUUCUUCACUUACAAAUUGUUGUAUGAAGAAAUGAGAGUUGCCUUGUACAACUCUUGAAAGUUUGUAAUUAUGUUUAGAACAUAAUGGUUGGUUGACAAAAAUAGUCCAUUCAACAUGGACUUAUGAUGAUUUUGAAUCAUUGAGUGUUGAAGUGUUAAAACACUUAACGAGACGGAAACUAGGCAAGGACUUCACCUUUGAGUCCUUCCCUAUCCUAAUGGUUCACUAAGUUUAUUGUAAACUAUAUAGUGAACAAUAACCACACGCUCUCCAAAUUGUUUGAUGUGUAUAACACAAUUGAAAUAAGUUUCAAGAGAGAUAGUGGGAGUUUAGGGACCAUGACUAUUGUAGUCAAAGGAGAAGUCUAAUGAAGAAAGCGAAAUAACUCCAAGGGAACAAACUUUCUUUAUGAAAGGAUGGACAAUGGAAGGGGUAUUUGCAAGAAAUGUCUUGCAAAUGUCAAGAACACACCUUUCGAAGGUGUUGUAAAUUGUUCUUGAAAAGUUCAAAACAGUUGGUUCUUCUACUUGAAUGCAUGAUUCAGUAUUAGUAACUAUGUUUUACAAUCGUUGUAAAAUGUGGCUAAUAAAAAGUAGAAGAUUAAUGAGAGAAGAGAAAGUACUUCACAUUCGGAACGUGAAUAAAAUAUAGAUCUCUGCGAAAGCAGAUGGUACUUACUUCCUCAUAUGAACUACCAAAGAAAUUGGAAAAAAAACCAAAGAUUGUCUUUACAUUCCAAUUGAAUAAAGGAACUUAAUUCCGUAUGUUAAAUGGAUAAAUGUUUUGUUUGACAAAACAUUGUUCUUUAUUAAUGAAUGAUUAGAUUAUUGUAAUCUAAUUAAUUAUCUCUAUAGUAGAGAUGAUAUGGUAGUGUUAACUGUUUAGAAUAUAAUGAUGCUUAAAACCCAAAAGGUUGCAAGGUAGUGACUAAUCCCAACUGAGUUGUGAUACCUCAAAAACAUAAAAUACGAGUUGGUCAUAGAUGGAUGCUUUGGAUCGUUAGAUCCGGAUCCAAUACCUUCUUAUUAAAAUUGUAUAGAGGCGAAAUGUUCGAAUCUUUAUUCUUUUGGAAAGAAGAAAGAAUCACAAAGUUGUUGAGGUUAAUUCACUUAGAUGUUAGUGGCACUUGUCCACAACAUAAUACUACUCAUGUUUGUAUGACAUUCACCGAAGAUCACUCUCGGUUGGACUAUAGUUUUAUUUUGAAUAAACACAAGUCCGAAUACUUUGCAAAAGGUUUCAAAGAAUUCAAGAAAUGUAAGUUGAUGAGUAAGACGUCUAAAGUAUUUGCCUCCUUAGAUUUGAUCCAAGGAAAGAUAACACUUUAGAACAGUUUUCUUGAAAGAUAUCAAGGAAAGAAGCAUCAUAAGAUAAUGGAUUUCUCCAUUAGGAGAAGAACGAACUUGAAUAAGAUUUAGUUCGUUGGAUGUUAUCAAUUACCCAUAUAUAGGAUAUAUGCUUCUAAGACAAUAUGAUUGUCAAUUAGAAGAUCUUCCAAAAUUUUCAUGACUCCAUAAAAAGAAAGAAAGACAAAUCUUAAAUCAUGUUAAGAUUUUGGGUUGUGCUGCUAAUAAGCAAUAUUUGUUUGAGAAUUAAUCUUGUAGGAUAUCCUUAAAAUUAACAUUUGUAUAUCACUUCUAUAAACCAACUAACAAAUGUUGUUUUGUUGGGUAGUUCAUUGUAAUCCUACACAAUAGGAUUUGCCUAAGAUAGCAAAUGAACGAGGGAUAGAACUCAAAGAAUGGUUCUUUAAGAAACAAGAUAGUGAUCAACAAAAUAUAACAACCUAGUUCCUAUACCACAAGCUCCAAAGUAGUCAAGAAUGAUUUAUAAACCAUCUCAGUUGAAUGGUUUGAACUUUAUGACUAUGUCAUAGAGUUACACCUCUUAAUUCGAAAGAAAUAAGAAUGAAAAUCCUUAUGACUACAUUGAGUGUAUAUACGAUAUAUACUCAAGGAAAUGGUAAAGUACCAUUUGACCGAAAUAAUGAAACCUUAAAUAGCUAAUUGGUAGCUUAAGGUGACUACAAUCAAAGAGAAUGGUUGACUUUGAAGAAACCAUCUUUGACGUAGUCUUCUUUUCAAUUAAUUCGAAGAUUGCUAGCUACAACUAAAUGGUGAUUCAAUGUUUGGACAUAAUAUAGGUUUCCGAAACCAUUAUUAAGAUAGUCUUGAUAAUAUAUGUCUAAAACUAUGAAUCACAAGACAUGUAAGUUGUAGAGAUCCAACCAUCAUGGAUCUUAGCAAGCUAGUGGGAGCUGUAAGCGUCUUAUGAGAGAAAGAUCAAAUCGUUUGAUUUCUCAUAAAGAUGUAAAUGAAUCUUUUGUUUACUAGGUUUUACAAAAGAUUAGUGGGAGUUAAUCAUGUUCCUAAAUUUGAAUAUAUAUAAUAUUAUAUAUAAAUAUAUGAUAUAAUUAAUUUUGGAAAUGAAAAGAAUACUUCUUCGUUAAAGUUAUGACUUUAAAAACAUUAUAUGAAGAUAGAAUGUAUAUGGGAGACAUAAUCUAUAUACAUGGGAUGGAAAUCUAUAUUGAUAGAUUUUAGGAUAUAAUUGGAUUAUAUCAAGCCCUAAUAAUAGACAAGAGAUGCUAGGAAGUAUCUCAUAUGAUGAUAAACUUCAAUUAGAAGGACGACUCUAGUGAGACUAGCAAGUUGCCCUUCUCAAAGGGAACGUACCCUUUGACUCCCAAAGAAAUAAUGCGUAAAUAGAAUCCUUUAUGCAUACGCAGAGAGGUGAUUUAUGUAUUUCAUAUUGUAUGAAAAACAUUGAUAUGAGUUGUACCUAGAAAGGUACAAGAUGAUAUUAGUGCAAGCCCAGGAUCAGAACCACGGCAACUGUCAAGUGAGUUCUUAAGUAUUUAAGAAAUACUAAAGGAUAGAUUCCUCAAAGAAUGAGGAAGAAUUAGAGUAACGUAAUGGAAGCGUAAAUGUAUUAGAUUAUGAAUCUAAUGCAUCAUUGGAUAUUUCUUCAUUAUGAAUGAAGAGAUAAUCAGAUAUCUCUUUAUUAUGACUAAAAAGAUAUUUGGAUGGAAACAUUAAAAGUAAUGACUUUAGUGUGUUCCAUUAUGAAUGCAAAAUAUAUUGCCAUAUAGAAGCUUACAACAAUGUUGUUUGGAUGGGAAAUUUCAUUUAUGAACUCUCUAUUCGGUUCCAACCAGAAAGUGUCUCUAGUGUACCGACACUACGACACUACGACACUAAUGGGGCGAUAGCUCAAGCCAGGGAAUCAAGGUAUCAUCAAGAUCCAAACUCAAAUGAGAGACUAAACCACAUGAUUAAGAAUCAUGUAUAAUGGUGACGUCGUUAUUCUCAAGGUUGCUUCUAUGGAUAACAUAUACAUAUCCAUUCUCUAGGCCUACUACUCAGCCAUUUAUGAAAUGACUACAGAAGAGGUAUCAUCACUGAUGACCAAGCUGAUUGGCUCUAGUGCAAGUCGGAGAUUGUUGGAAAUGUGCCCUAAAACCAAUCAUAUGAUGAUACUUUACGGACAUUUCACAUGUUAAACUAAUCUAGUUUAAUAUCAAGGGCAAAGAUUAUUGUUUGAGCCGUCUCAUAUAAAUGUUAUAUGCUUAAACGAUAAGUCCAAGGAAUAUGUGAUUGGGAGAAUGCGAUCUAAAGAAGUUAGAUUCAUGAGACCAUUCUUUCGUAGACACAUCCUAAACGUUCCUGAUCAUAGGAUUGCCAAUUGGGCAUUGACAGUCCGUUAAGAUCAGUACGUGUUGUGUCUUCUCUCAAGGAGAGUGACUAGUCUCGAGUCAUUGGUCUGUGUGACAUCAAGACAAGCAUGUAGGUGCUCAAUAAUGAAUGAGUCCACUGAACACGAUCAACGGGAGUUCUCAUACUCAUGUCACAUGAGAACUCAUGGUUCGGAUAAUGCAAAGUAGUCCUUUGACCUGAGGCAUCAUAGUUGUCUUGUGAUUAAGUCCUUGAUCUUUGAUUAUGUCAAAGUCACUCCAUCAGGAGCGUGUCCACGGCAUCAUAGGGGUUAAGCCACUUAGCCAUGGAGGCAAGUGAAUGCACAACAAGGGAUCUCUAACCUUCAAAACGUUUGAGGGAGAAUACUCUAUGAUAUGAUUAAGAAUCUCUGGCCAGAGUAUGAAUGAGAUUUAGGAAGUCGUUCCAAAUCACAUUCAAGGUAAUCAUAUAAGCACACGAAUCACAUUGGAUAGUAGAAUAUGAAUAAACUAUCAAACCAAACAAUGUGUCAAGAGUAUGUAUUUAUUAGAGAAAGACCGUAUUGCAUUUGUAAUCCUAAACUGAAUAGGUUCUCCACCUCUUCUGAUUAGCUUGGGUAACCAUGAUAUGCUGCUAGGUGUCACUCAUGGUUUGUGGAAGCCCUAAACGUGUAUAAUCACUAAAGGGAGAAUUGAAAGUAAGUUUCAAUUCACAAUCGAUUUGAAAUGGUUUUAAUCGCCCACUGCCUCGCUAAAAGGAACCUAAUGGAUCGUACACCAUGUAAGGUGGAGAUUGAAGAAACAAUGGAGAUGAGUAAGAAUAAUUAAAUGGUUUAAUUAUUUAUGGCAAGGAUUAAUUAAUAUGUUAAUUAAUCAAACGAAUAAGUUCCUUAAAGACCUCGGGAUAGUUUUGGGCCUCAAGGCCCAAUGGGCUUCAAACGUCAAUCCAAUUGACUUAAGUUGUAUGACAACUUAAUGACAAAUAAUUCACAAAGGCCGUAAAAACCCAAUGAAACCCUAUGGCCGGCCAUUUUGUUAAAUGAGUGGGUUUUGGACUUAAUUACAAGUUUGCUACUCCAAUGAAUAAAGGUAUAAGUAUGACUUUAUAGCCAAAAUUCAUUUAGGGUUUUCUUUUGGGGAAAGGAUGAGAACACAAGCUCUCUUUUCUCUUUAAAGAGGCCGGCCACCCUUGGAGGGAUUAGCUAGUAAUCUUUCUCCUCCAAGGUCACUCAUCUCUUCUUCACAUCUUACCUUGGUGUGGAGACUUAGAGGUUCUCAAUUUUGGGAACUUGGAGAAACCUAUUCUUCCAUCCAAAUCCAUGGAUCUAAGAAGCAAGGAAUGAAGGCCCUCUCCUUGGGUGAUUAGCCUUUGCUUAUGCAAAGAGGAAUCUACAAAGGUAUAAAUUUCUCAACUCACUUUGAUUUGAGUUGAGUCUUGGUUCACCAAUCUACUAGGCUUUGAAUUUCAUGGUUAAUGUUUUGUUUUUAAGUGCAUACAAGCAUGAUUCCGCCUUUAAUUGUUAAUUGCAUGCUAAUAGAUGUUGCUUAAAUGAACAUGUUUUUCACAAAAUUUCCUUCAUUAGGAACGCAAAUCUGAGUGUGGAGUGAAAGUUCCAUCGUUCCUAAGUUGAAUGCAUGGGUUUCCUCCCAAGAAGCGCUUGCUUUAACAUCGUGCAACCGGACGAUACUUCUCUUUAAGCUCCUCGAGGUCCCAUAGCAUGGAAUUUAUCCUUGAAUGGAAGGUGAUACUUUAAGUGAUCCGGCAAUGGUUUAAAUUCUAGUGUAGGUACCUGAAUCAUCAAAAUCAACAUGUUAGUAUAAAACGUAAUGGAAAUUGGGGAAGAUGACUUACUUGCAUUGUCCGACAAGAACUCAAUGAAAAACACCACUUCUUUGAAAAUUUCAGGGAGAUUGGACUUGGGCAGAUUGAAUGUGAUGGUUAGAACUUGUCCCGUGUCAUAAAAUUCAACCUCUUUAGGCUUUGUUGUCUCAUGUACAACCUCCUUGAUGCAUUUUACACAUUCGCCAGCCACUUCUUUCUCUUGACUCCUUAUUGGUGUACAAGGUUCUUUGAACACUUCAACACAAUCUGGAACUUGAUUUGGUGUGCCAAGAAUUGGGAUAUCACUUUACACCUUUAGAAUGGCUUCCAGAAUGUCUUGUUCACUCUCAUCUUUCUUGGGAAUUAAAAACCUGCGAGGAAAAGAUGCAUUCGAAGGAAUAAUAUUAGAAUGAAAUGAAAUUGGGACGUUCUUACUUGUGGUGGGUGGUUUAGAGAGCUUAGGGGGCUGCGGCAAGGGUUGUUCUACCCUUGCCGUGGGUGUGUCUUCUUCCUCCUCCUCAAUUAGCAGUUGUUCGUCCUCCUCUUGGCUUUGUUUGGACGUUUUUAGGUCAGCUCCAACCUCCAUAGCACUUGCCAAAGUGAUAGCAUCAUGGAUUUCAAAAUCUUGCUUCGAAUUUUCAAUAGUUGAGUUGGAGAGUUCACUUUGCUCUUGAAUUUGCACCAUGAACUCCAUAAUCUGCCCAAUUUGCUUCUCCAAUUCGCCCGUCUUCUUGGCUUGAUUUUGCAUCUCUUUGUUUCGAUUUUCUACUUCCUGGUUCAAAGAGGUGAGUAACUUACUAAACAUAUCAUUAUCCAAAGACGUACCUGAAUUUGUUUAGGAAAAUUGUGGGGGAGGUUGUGGUGGCUGCAUAGGCGUGGUGUAGAACUCCUCAUAUGGUUACCAAUAUGCAUCUUGUUGAGCCUCCUUGGCUUGAUUUUGUGAGCCCUGCACCAAAGAAUUUAAUUCAUUAAGAAUUUGAUUAUAAUCUAUUGACGAACUGGAGUUUGAUUGAGCAUAUUGCAUAGGUCUUGAAUAGAACUCCUCAUAUGGCUGCCAAUAUCCUUCGUGUUGAGCUCGUUUGAGAUUCCCACCACAUAGAAGUUGAAUGAUCACUCCAAUCUCUUUGUGGACAUUGAUUGGCUUGAUAUCCUUGCCUAUAAGACGCACCAAAUGUAGGGACACUUUGCAUUGUGGUCCUUUCAGCAUACUGCGACAAUUGAGAAGUAAGAUUUGCCAAUUGAGCUUGAAUGCUAGCAAAAUCCAUGUCGUACUUCUCUAGUACCUUAAAUCAAAGAAAGAUAACUAAAUCAAAUAUCAAAAUUAAAAUAAACAAAACAAAAGCAAAUAAGAAACUAAAAACAAAAGACACGAAAAGAAACAAAGUCAGUAACUAAAACAAAAGACACGAAAAAUAAACAAAAAGAAACAACGGGGGAUUAGCAAAGUUGCUAAUCCCCGGCAACGACGCCAAAAAUUUGCUGCGUAAAUUAACUUAACACACAAAUUAAACCCUCUUGUUGACAAUUGUAGUAUGGAUAAGUAGGGAUCGUUAUGGACCGGGGAUUAGGAGGGAUUGCUAAUCUACUCUAAACUAAAUUAGAAACACAAAAAUAAACUUAAAAGCACUUAACAAGACUCACAAGACUCAAAACAAACUUAAAAGACUCAAAACUGCCUAAAAACAACACUAAGGCAGUUUCUGCUACUAACACAAGUUUUGGACGAAAUUGAUUAUAUCUUGACUCAAAACACUUAAAAACACAAUCUAAAACAAGUUCUAACUAAUAUGACUCAAUAAAGUAAAGUGGGGGUUGGUUUUGGACGAAAAUAAGUAAAGCAAAACAAAAACAAUUUAAACAAAUUCUUAGACAAAUUUAGGUGAAUUGAUGGGUGAUGGGUUAACUAGGGAGUUCUUCUCCACACAUGACAAACUUGCAUUGAAAUUGAUUUCCAAUUGCUUCUCUCAAUAAGUCAUGAAACUCAAUACUCCAGGUUAACUGUGACAGCACUUUUUUAACCUUCAAGUUCUCCUUAAGUUAAUGAAUUGGAUGGGAAAGCACAUACAACAACUCAAAGCAUUCUCUAAAAGUCCCCUACGUGAAAAGCACAAUAAAGGUACAAUCAAAGAUCAUUAAGUUGCAUGAAAACCAUAAGCAUUGACGAGGUAAUUGUUACUAUGAAAAGUAUGAAACUUUUGCCAAGAAUUCACUUAACACGAUCGUUUAUAAGCGACCUCCACUACUUGCAAAUAUAAGUUUGUAACUAUUAGGUGAAACUCCCUUAUAUUUUAGCUUCAAAUCCUUGCAUGAAAACUAAGUGUGCACUCUUAAUAAACAUACAAGAAUAAGUUAUCAAUCAAAUGGUUAAGCAAAUUGAAUUCACAACUUAUGAAAUAACAACUGAAGGUAAUCAAUUCAUAAUGCAAAUAUAAUCAUGGUUUUGAAUAGCCCCCUAGCCAAGAAGGGCUUAGUUCCUCAUAAAUGCAAAACAAAGAUACAUAAAUUUAGACAUUGAAAACAAAGAAUAAAAACACCUAGAAACGCUCCAACAAUCCAACGUCUUGAAUGGCAAGCACGUCCAAGGGUCUCCUUCCUUCUUCUUUGCUGCGGCACAAGGGAUGGUUGAAGGUUUUUGUGGUGAUUUGUGGUAGUGGAUGGAUAUAGGUUGGUUAUGGUGAAGGGUGGAGUGCUUAGAAUGGUCAGAAAGGGGUCAUAUUUAUAGGGAAAGGAAGGGCUACGAAUUUAUUAAAUUUGGAAUUAGAAAUCAAUGGAAAAUAGGCAAGAAAGGUGCAAGAAUUAAAGAGAAUAGGAAAGGAAAUUCGGAAGAGAGUGUAGGACAGAUUUAGGAAUGUGUUUUGAGGCACAAAAUAGGUAAGAAUCCUCUCCCCUUGUGCAGCAAGAAUUGAAACAAAAGGGAAUGCAAUUUUGGGUCAGAAAAUAGGUAAGAAAUGAGAGAUAUGUGCAGAUUUUGGAAGAGAAAGGGAAAGGGAAUUGCGGCAAGGAAGGAUCCUUGCAGAUUUGGUGUGGCAUGGACUUUAGGGAAGGUUUAGGGCUUCUAGAUAUAUGUAAUUAGGCAACCUAAAAUGUUUUGAAACCCUUUUGUGGCUGGAACAUAGGUGAGGAAGGAUUAGGAAACUUCCAAGCCAAGAAUAGAAACUUUCAAGAAUGGAAACCUCCAAAAAUAGAAACUUUGGUUUCCAAUUAUGAACUCUUUGUUCUUCAUUUUCAUUUCUUCAUUUCAUUAUUCAUUCCUAGCCUCCUUUGAUCUUCAAUUUCG
rnacentral:lncRNA from 1 species